GACGAACGCUGGCGGCGUGCUUAACACAUGCAAGUCGAACGGAAAGGCCCUGCUUUUGUGGGGUGCUCGAGUGGCGAACGGGUGAGUAACACGUGAGUAACCUGCCCUUGACUUUGGGAUAACUUCAGGAAACUGGGGCUAAUACCGGAUAGGAGCUCCUGCUGCAUGGUGGGGGUUGGAAAGUUUCGGCGGUUGGGGAUGGACUCGCGGCUUAUCAGCUUGUUGGUGGGGUAGUGGCUUACCAAGGCUUUGACGGGUAGCCGGCCUGAGAGGGGGAACGGGCACAAUGGGACUGGGGGAACGCCCAGGACUCCAACGGGGGGAAGCGGUGGGAAUAUUGCACAAUGGGCGGAAGCCUGAUGCAGCAACGCCGCGUGCGGGAUGACGGCCUUCGGGUUGUAAACCGCUUUCGCCUGUGACGAAGCGUGAGUGACGGUAAUGGGUAAAGAAGCACCGGCUAACUACGUG
rnacentral:rRNA from 1 species